UGGGGAAUAUUGCACAAUGGGGGAAACCCUGAUGCAGCAACGCCGCGUGAGUGAUGACGGCCUUCGGGUUGUAAAGCUCUGUCUUCAGGGACGAUAAUGACGGUACCUGAGGAGGAAGCCACGGCUAACUACGUGCCAGCAGCCGCGGUAAUACGUAGGUGGCAAGCGUUGUCCGGAUUUACUGGGCGUAAAGGGAGCGUAGGCGGACUUUUAAGUGAGAUGUGAAAUACCCGGGCUCAACCUGGGUGCUGCAUUUCAAACUGGAAGUCUAGAGUGCAGGAGAGGAGAGUGGAAUUCCUAGUGUAGCGGUGAAAUGCGUAGAGAUUAGGAAGAACACCAGUGGCGAAGGCGACUCUCUGAACUGUAACUGACGCUGAGGCUCGAAAGCGUGGGGAGCAAACA
rnacentral:rRNA from 1 species